UUAGCCAAUCCAAGGCCAUGGCGGUUCUCAAGGCGGUUCAUGUUUGUGAUGUAAUCUCGAUCAAGUCCCGGAGAAUGCCGCUUCAGCACUCUGCUCAUCUCGUUUCCGGGCAGGUGUUAAUGAUGAAGAAGAACGCAAAUGCAAGAUUCCCAAGUUUCUGGUGAUGGGCCACAGGGGGGACGGAAUGAACAUGUUGCAAUCGUCUGAUCCCAGUAUGAAAUCCAUCAAAGAGAAUUCUCUUCUCUCUUUGAAUUUGACGUUCAGGUGACGAAAGAUGACUACCCAGUCAUUUACCAUGACAACUUCAUCCACCAUGAAGAAAAGGGUGCCAUUGUUGAGAACAGGGUUACAGAACUUACUUUGACUGGAUUUCUCUCAUAUGGACCUCAGAAACUCUCUGGAACUGUAAUAAUCUUUGAUCUUUCUCUUGGGGCUGUAUUAUGAUGUAGGA